UCCGAGUUGACCCCGGCGGUCUCCUAUGAGUUCCCACCAUUACGUGCUGGCAACAUAGGACGAGGGUUGCGCUCGUUGCGGGACUUAACCCAACAUCUCACGACACGAGCUGACGACAACCAUGCACCACCUGUGUACCGACCUUGCGGUGCGACUGUUUCCAGCCGUUUCCGGUAUAUGUCAAGCCUUGGUAAGGUUUUUCGCGUUGCAUCGAAUUAAACCACAUCAUCCACCGCUUGUGCGGGCCCCCGUCAAUUCCUUUGAGUUUUAAUCUUGCGACCGUACUCCCCAGGCGGGCAACUUCACGCGUUAGCUGCGUUACUAAAGGAGUUCAUCCUCCAACAACUAGUUGCCAUCGUUUAGGGCGUGGACUAC
rnacentral:misc_RNA from 1 species